UAGGGANUCUUCCGCAAUGGGCGAAAGCCUGACGGAGCAACGCCGCGUGAGUGAAGAAGGAUUUCGGUUCGUAAAGCUCUGUUGUUAGGGAAGAAUGAUUGUGUAGUAACUAUACACAGUAGAGACGGUACCUAACCAGAAAGCCACGGCUAACUACGUGCCAGCAGCCGCGGUAAUACGUAGGUGGCAAGCGUUGUCCGGAAUUAUUGGGCGUAAAGCGCGCGCAGGUGGUUUAAUAAGUCUGAUGUGAAAGCCCACGGCUCAACCGUGGAGGGUCAUUGGAAACUGUUAAACUUGAGUGCAGGAGAGAAAAGUGGAAUUCCUAGUGUAGCGGUGAAAUGCGUAGAGAUUAGGAGGAACACCAGUGGCGAAGGCGGCUUUUUGGCCUGUAACUGACACUGAGGCGCGAAAGCGUGGGGAGCAAACAGGAUUAGAUACCCUGGUAGUCCACGCCGUAAACGAUGAGUGCUAAGUGUUGGUCUCAUAAGAGAUCAGUGCUGCAGCUAACGCACUAAGCACUCCGCCUGGGGAGUACGACCGCAAGGUUG
rnacentral:rRNA from 1 species